rnacentral:ncRNA from 1 species
AUGAAAGCAGGGGGAGAGAUCCUUUUUUAAAGGACGCCGAAGGAGCAAGCAUGUUUGUGAAUCUCUCAGGCAAAAAGACUCUUGCUGGACG